rnacentral:lncRNA from 1 species
GCUUGAGAAAGUGGGACUUCAAAUACGGACCAAUGAUAAGGACCUGGUGGGUCUAGAAUUGAGUCCUGCUCUUUAUCUGAUGCUAUUUAACAAAUUGAAGAAGACCCAUCAGCAAGUUUUUUGACUCCUAAGGACAGGUUUUAUUGACUGAUACCAAUACUCAAUUUGUAGAGGAAACCCUAGCUAUAUUGAAGAACUUGCUAGAUAAUCAUACUGAAGGCAGCUCUGAACAUCUAGAGCAAGCUAGCAUUGAAACAAUGAUGUUAAAUCUGGUCAGGUACGUUUGUGUGCUUGGGAAUAUGGUCCAUGCAAUUCAAAUAAAAACGAAACUGUGUCAGUUGGUUGAAGUAACGAUGGCAAGGAGAGAUGACCUCUCAUUUUGCCGAGAGAUGAAAUUUAGGAAUAAGAUGGUAGAAUACCUGACAGACUGGGUUAUGGGAACAUCAAACCAAGCAGCAGAUGAUGAUGUAAAAUGUCUUACAAG